rnacentral:rRNA from 1 species
CCUACGGGAGGCAGCAGUGGGGAAUUUUGCGCAAUGCUCGACAGAGUGACGCAGCGACGCCGCGUGAAUGACGAAGGCCUUCGGGUCGUAAAGCUCUUUCGACCGGGGAGAAAAUGCCUCUAAGUAACGGUUUCUGUAUUUACGGUACCUGAAUAAGCAGCCCAGGCUCACUCCGUGCCAGCAGCCGCCGUAAUACUGAGGGGGCGAGCGUUGUUCGGAGUGACUGGGCGUAAAGAGCACGUAGGCGGUGUUGUAAGUCAUUAGUCAAAGUCUAGAGCUUAACCUUCGUAAGGCUAUUGAUACUAUAAUACUAGAGUAUCAGAGAGGAAUGCAGAAUGCCUGGUGUAGCGGUGAAAUGCGUAGAUAUCAGGAGGAAUACCGUUAGCGAAGGCGGCAAUCUGGCUGGAAACUGACGCUGAGGUGCGAAAGCGUGGGUAGCAAACAGGAUUAGAUACCCGGGUAGUC